GAAACGGCAACAUGAAUUCGUAGAUGAUGAGUAGGAUGCCCAAGCCAGAGAUGACAGUGCUCUUGAGGAAGUGCUGGGUAGAACAAAAAGUCUGACUUGUGUGUAUAACUGAGCGUGCCCAAUCAUCACACUGACCCAGCCAGACCCACAUCCGCCGCAGAAUGACAACAAAGACCUUUCUAAAGGACUUGGUAUUUCAGCUCCCUCUUCACAAAGUGCCCGAACGCCACACCUCCGAGCAGCCGCAGCUUUUACCAGUGUGCUGCUAAAAAUGAUCCACGAUCUGGGCUGCAACAACUCGUGGCAGCUCUGCUUUCUUGCUGCUUAUCAGCAGGAGGCGGCUCCGUGUUUGUGCCUCUGGAAAGUGGGGAGCUGGGGAACUAGAAAAAUACCAGCAGCACUUCAAUUCGAAUGGCUCCUUUCUUAUUUUAUUGCACAAGGAAUUAAAUGGAAAUAUUUGGGACUUUGCUGGCGUGUUUGAUGAAAAAUCCAGGUUCAAAUAGCAUCUACAGAGAUCACAUUGCUGUAAUAACGUGUAUGCUACCGUUAAAAUUACAUAUGAUUUCAGGUAUAUAAGAUUCAGUUUAUCAGGGUUGUGGGGUUUUGUGUCCUGGUAGGAAAGCUUAUACUGAGGAAGAGAAUGAGAUCAUUAGCCAUAUGUAGCAGAGUCCAUACGCUACUUCGACACCCCUUAGA
rnacentral:lncRNA from 1 species